UACGGGGGGGGCAAGCGUUGUUCGGAAUUACUGGGCGUAAAGCGUGCGCAGGCGGUUUUGUAAGCCAGAUGUGAAAGCCCCGGGCUUAACCUGGGAAUGGCAUUUGGGACUGCAAGGCUUGAGUGCGGCAGAGGAGACUGGAAUUCCUGGUGUAGCAGUGAAAUGCGUAGAUAUCAGGAGGAAUACCGAUGGCGAAGGCAGGUCUCUGGGCUGACACUGACGCUCAUGCACGAAAGCAUGGGGAGCGAACAGG
rnacentral:rRNA from 1 species